AACGUUCAUCCAUGGGGGGCCCCAGGAUCGUGUUUGGGAAACCAGGAAUAGUGCCCAUCAAAUGAAAUGCAGACAAGCGCCACCCCGAGGAGUGGAAGUCUUGAGGAACUGCCUUCCUUUAUCGCAAACUGGUUGCCUGAGUUCGGUGUCGCUAUAUUUUCAUUCCGAAGCUCUGAGAGGUCCUGAGGCAGCCUUUGCGUCCACCUGAACAUGUCUGGCCCGGUCACCAGUCGAUCCCGGGUUUACCCCGACGUGAACACACAGAGACCCCGGGAGUACUGGGACUACGAGUCACACGUUGUGGAGUGGGGGAAUCAAGAUGACUACCAGCUGGUGCGAAAACUCGGCCGAGGCAAAUACAGCGAAGUGUUUGAAGCCAUCAACAUCACAAACAACGAGAAAGUAGUAGUCAAAAUACUCAAGCCAGUAAAGAAGAAGAAAAUCAAGCGAGAAAUCAAGAUUCUAGAAAACCUGCGAGGUGGCCCCAACAUCAUCACACUUCUAGACAUCGUCAAGGAUCCAGUGUCCCGGACUCCAGCCCUGGUUUUUGAACAUGUUAACAACACAGACUUCAAGCAAUUAUAUCAAACGCUAUCAGACUACGACAUACGGUUCUACAUGUACGAGAUCUUAAAGGCCCUGGACUACUGUCACAGUAUGGGCAUCAUGCACCGAGACGUCAAGCCACACAACGUCAUGAUUGACCACGAACACAGAAAGCUUCGCCUUAUAGACUGGGGUUUGGCAGAGUUCUACCACCCUGCUCAGGAGUACAAUGUACGAGUGGCGUCCCGAUACUUCAAGGGUCCAGAGCUGCUAGUCGACUACCAGAUGUAUGACUACAGUUUAGACAUGUGGAGCUUGGGCUGCAUGCUGGCCAGUAUGAUCUUCAGGAAGGAGCCUUUCUUCCACGGACACGACAACUACGACCAGCUUGUACGAAUCGCAAAAGUCCUGGGCACAGAAGAUCUUUAUGACUACAUCGAUAAAUACAACAUCGAGCUAGACCCACGGUUCAACGACAUUCUGGGCAGACAUUCCCGUAAACGGUGGGAGAGGUUUGUGCACAGUGAGAAUCAGCACCUGGUGAGCACCGAGGCUCUGGACUUCCUGGACAAGCUGCUGCGCUACGACCACCACGCCCGCCUCACAGCCCGGGAGGCCAUGGACCAGCCCUACUUCUGUGAGCUGCACCUCAUUAUCCAUCUCUCUCACACACACUCACCAUGGACCAGCCCUACUUCUACCCCAUUGUGAAAGACCAGGCGAGGAUGGGCUCUACAUCAGGGCUGUCGACUGGUUCUACCCCAGUCAGCUCCUCCAGUAUGAUGACAGGCAUCACCUCCAUGUCCUCGUCGCAGCCCCUGGCUAAUGUGGCGGGCUCUCCUGUGAUCUCCUCCCCCAGUGCUCUGGCCACUCAGGUCCCAGCCGCUGCCGGGGCCCAGCCCUGAACGGUGCCCUCAGCCUGGGGCCUGGGAUGGACCCUCUGUCUGGCCUGGCCUACCCAGCCAACCACCAUUUUUAUGUUGAGUAUAACAGAGACAAAGGAAAAGAUAUUAGGUUUUUUUCAUACAAUAAUUCUAUAUUGAGAUCCGGGGGAGAGAGAAGAGAACAAACAUUACCUGCGUCUGUCUGGAUAAAAACCGUAGCUGCGUUCUUUCAUGAUGACGGUGUCUAGAAAUGCAACUACGUAGAAAGUAAGCAAAAUGGACAAUAAAAAUUAUUUUAUAUGUCCCUAAAGUACAUGUUUGUUUUCUAUGGGUCGGAGGUUGUUGAUUUUCUAGUUCUUUUUUUCACAUCAAAUGACUCAUGGGCUGCUUGUAACACUUAGUUAAUUACGUUUUCUGUUGGUCAUAUUUUCGUCAUUGAAUUUCUCUCAAUAGAACGGCACCCCUGAUUUAGUUAUUUCAGUGUCGUCCCUAAUGUUUUUAUCACGAGGCAGUGUCACAAUGAUUAUGCUUGUUAUUUGGUUGUGGCUAUUUCAGGCUCAUUGAACUAACUUUUUGUACUUGAGUUACGCUGACAUAUGACUGUGUUUAUAAAAUGUAUUCAAUAAGCCCAUGUUGUUUUUACUACAUCCAGUGCACAGUGUGUAGUUUAAGAGACUUCACUGACCUGUUUUGUUUUGUUCACUUGUUUGAAGCUGAGACCAUGGAGAAAGUCCAGUUGGCUUGAUUAGAGGCUUACUUUUUCUCUAAAUCUGCUUGCUGAGUUUGUUACCUUACAGAAAACUCAGGCAAGGAGAGCACCCAGAAUGAAUGUUUUUUU